rnacentral:rRNA from 1 species
AGUGAACGCUGGCGGUAGGCCUAACACAUGCGAGUCGAACGGCAGCACAGUAAGAGCUUGCUCUUACGGGUGGCGAGUGGCGGACGGGUGAGGAAUACAUCGGAAUCUACUUUUUCGUGGGGGAUAACGUAGGGAAACUUACGCUAAUACCGCAUACGACCUACGGGUGAAAGCAGGGGAUCUUCGGACCUUGCGCGAUUGAAUGAGCCGAUGUCGGAUUAGCUAGUUGGUGGGGUAAAGGCCCACCAAGGCGACGAUCCGUAGCUGGUCUGAGAGGAUGAUCAGCCACACUGGAACUGAGACACGGUCCAGACUCCUACGGGAGGCAGCAGUGGGGAAUAUUGGACAAUGGGCGCAAGCCUGAUCCAGCCAUACCGCGUGGGUGAAGAAGGCCUUCGGGUUGUAAAGCCCUUUUGUUGGGAAAGAAAAGCAGCAGGUUAAUACCCCGCUGUUCUGACGGUACCCAAAGAAUAAGCACCGGCUAACUUCGUG